GCUGGGCGUGGUGGCACACGCCUGUAAUCCCAGCUUCUUGGGAGGCUGAAGCAGGGGAAUCGCUUGAACCCAGGAGGCAGAGGUUGCAGUGAGCUGAGAUCAUGCCACUGCACUCCAGCCUGGGCAACAGAGCGAGACUCUGUCUCAA
ensembl:misc_RNA Metazoa_SRP Metazoan signal recognition particle RNA